UUGAAGAGUGGACUUCCCGCGCAGCUCACUGGGUUUGGUUUUUGCUCUGGCACAUUUUUACUUCAACUGCGUCUGACGAAGGAAUAAGUUUUUCUGAAAGUUUGUGGCUGCACUGACUGAGACUACAGAGCAACCUUUCUUACUUCAAACCAGAAGAGAAGAGCAGCUGCUUUACUCGGACUCCCAUUUUAUCUGAAGGAGGAUCCCAACAGUUUUAUCCGUGUCUGUGAGACUACCAGUUCUGAACAAGAGGCUACAAAAGGAGUUGACGUUGGUCUUCUCAUUGUGACUGAGGAAGGCGGAAGCAGCCAAGCACUACUGGCAAAGGAGAUAGUUGAUAUCGCAGUUGUGCUGGAAGACAACAUCAUCAUACGUGAGCUAGGAGAUGUUGCUAAUGCUUUUUCCUCACUCAUGGGUCUUCUUUACUGUCUUGACAUAGACUAUCCCAAGGGACUGAAGUACACAUUUGAGAUUAUUCAAAAAGUUGUCAUGGGCAUCGGCAGUGGCAAUUGUUCUGCAAAAGUUCACGGACUCCGCAACAAGUUACUUCAAGGCAAAGUUUAGUAUUUUAGUGACCAAGUAAUAGCAACAGCAGUGUUCACUAAAGACUUCACACCACCAUUUCCAUAUCUAUUACAUGGUUCAAUUUGAAAACUAAACAAAAAGAGGCCUGUAUAAAAGAGUUUAAUUCAGAGGUUCUAAAAAUGUUAGUAAAAUGACAUGUUAAUCUGCUCAGAGAUAACUACCAAGAUGUUUGUGCAAUUUAAAUACAGCACUUAAGCCAGUUAGCUUUAUAUUUCAGAUUUUAAUAUUUCUAUUUUUGUGUUCUAGAGCAACCAUUUCCAUAUCUAUUACAUGGUUCGAUUUGAAAACUAAACAAAAAGAGGCCUGUAUAAGUUACAGAAGAGUUUAAUUCAGAGGCUCUUAAAAUGUUAGUAAAAUGACAUUGUUCAGUUAAUCUGCUCAGAGAUAACUACCAAGAUUUUUGUGCAAUUUAAAUACAGCACUUAAGCCAGUUAGCUUUAUAUUUCAGAUUUUAAUAUUUCUAUUGUUGUGUACUAGAGCUCGCUUGCAUACAUUUUUUAGAUAAAUGUUCAUGUAACAUGUUAUGAAAUUUCAAUUUCACCAAAUGCUUGCAAUUAACUACAGUACUUAAGCCAGUAAGCGUUUAUAUUUCACAUUUUAUUUCUAUAUCAACAGUUUUAUGCACCAGAGUUUGCAUGAUUCUUUUUUUAGAUAAAUGUUCAUGUAACAUGUUAUGAAAUGUCAAUUGUUCAGCUGGAACUGAAACGCUUGUAAUUAAUGGUAAGGUGUUUUAACAUUAAGUACAUUAAUGGUAAGCAUGAUUUUCUGUUUUGAAAUAAUAAAAAAAUUGCAUUCUGCAUGUUCUUCUAUGCCAAUGAAUCAUUUUUAUGUAGUACUGUUAGAAAACAGAAACUCAAGUUGUGUGGACAAAUUAUGCAGUUCACUCUGUUGAAUGAACUUAACAUUCCAACUAAAAUGAACUAUUCUUGAAAAAGUAACCUGGCUGCCUUAAAAAAAUAAGUUAAUUCAACUAAAUGAAUAGUUCAGCCAAUUUUUAUGUUGUUUGGACAACUAAUAAUUAUAAGUCGAUUUAACAAGAUGCUUGGUGUAAACAACUCAAAUGAACAGAAAUGUUUGUUGGCGUCACUAAUUUUAUGUUGUCUCAACUGGGAUUUAAGUUUACACAACUUUUAAUGUCUCGUUGGAGUAACUAAAAAACAAAUUAAUUAAACUUAAAUUAAAUAGUUGAUCAGACUAUUUUGUCAGCUUCACCUUUGUUACCCCAACGAUUAAUUAUAGGUUUAAGGAACUGCAGUACAUGUACAAACAACUGAGGUUUCUUAGCUUACUUAACACAACAUUUUAAGGCAGCCAGGUUACAAAUUAUUUUAAGUUGAAUGAACU